AUUGAACGCUGGCGGCAGGACUAACACAUGCAAGUCGAACGAGUUACGGACGGGUGAGUAAUGUCUGGGAAACUGCCUGAUGGAGGGGGCUAACUACUGGCAACGGUAGCUACUACCGCAUACCAUCAGAUGUGCCCAGAUGGGAUUAGCUUGUUGGUGGGGGAACGGCUCACCAAGGCGACGAUCCCUAGCUGGUCUGAGAGGAUGACCAGCCACACUGCAACUGAGACACGGUCCAGACUCCUACGGGAGGCAGCAGUGGGGAAUAUUGCACAAUGGGCGCAAGCCUGAUGCAGCCAUGCCGCGUGUAUGAAGAAGGCCUUCGGGUUGUAAAGUACUUUCAGCGGGGAGGCGUUACCCGCAGAAGAAGCACCGGCUAACUCCGUGCCAGCAGCCGCGGUAAUAC
rnacentral:rRNA from 1 species